ACAGUCGCGUCGCGUCACAUCAAGCCGCUGCUUUUGGAGUUUCACACAGACGCGCAGUGACGCGCAGCCCUCGGAAGGUUUUUAUGAAUCUUUUUCUCUUUUUUCAGUGGAUUUGUGUGUUUGACUGGCAGUGAGGAACAUAUGCAGACUUUAAACAGAAACAAACAAACAAACAACACGAUGAAAAAAAUACCUCUGUAAUCUGAGCAUUAUCACACACUGUGCACCUCUUUUUCCAGAGCUCAUGAUUCUCUAACCUCUCUCAUCACAUAGUCCUGCAGUGUAUAUCUGCAGCAUUCCGAAAUCUACCGCAGUUUUCCGAUCAUGUCCUUUUUCCUGGCGGAGAGUUCCCAGCCUGUGGUGGAGUGGUUGAGCGGCCUCCGGCUCGACCAGUACUGCUCUGCAUUCCAGGAGGCUGGACUGGGAAUGUUGUGGGAAUGCCGGGAUUUAACAUCUGCAAAACUUCAGCAGAUGGGCGUGGCACUUCCCGGCCACAGGAAGCGGAUUCUCGGGAGUCUACACAAGCUUUUCCCCUCAGAGGUGGGGAUGGGAGAAGACGAGGAGAGAGAUGAAGACAGACCCGUUCCCAGACAGAGGACGAAAUUUCAAAAGUCUGCAGAAGGGGUGCCUGAAGGGGCGGAACUGCCAAAUAAGGACAACAGCAUCCUGGACAAACGCCCGCCUCCCGUCCCGCCUCGGGUCAUGCCCAAUCGGCCUCCUAUUCCCUUUACGUCUGGAUCUGUAAUCAUGGCAACAACCCUUGACCCCAGCACGGAGACAAACACUGUACAACCCCCAACCAUUCCAGAGACUAAAGAAACAGCCACACCUGCUGAUCGAUCCAAACCCACCCCAGUUCCGAGGCUUCGCCCGGAACACCUGCCUCUUAAAGAGCCACCGCAACAACCCCAGAAGUGCGAGAAGAAACAAUCACCUGUAUCACCCUCUCUCUCUCUCUCUUCCAUUUCCUCUUCAUCAUCAUCUUCCUCCUCCGAUCAGAUCCACCUGUACGAGCAGUGUUCCUCGCAAGGAGAAAUGGGUGCUCCUCCUCUUCCUCCUAAGAGCUAUGCUAUGGGUGUGUCGAAGGAACCCAAAGAUGCCCAGUCACACCCUCCGGUCCCGUAUAGACCUCCCAUUCCACCCCCACGUAUCUCUGUCUCCAUCAGGACUACAAAUUUCAGAAACAUCUCUUCCGGAAGCAUGCCCAGUUUCAGCUCUCCUGUGGAUGAUAUCUGGGAAACAGAUCGAGCUCCUGAUAUUCCACCACGGAUCAGAUCUCCUAAGAGAGGAGCCCCGCUGCCAGCCCUCAGAAACAAGUUGGAUUCAGCAGGAAGUUCAGACGAAUAUGACGAUCAUGACUCGGACAACUGCAGAGACACUAAACUCAUAGACAUGGCCAACAAGAUGUCUUUGAUGGUUCCCAAGGAGACGAAACCCCGUUACAGCAGCCUGUGCAGCGAUGAUGAGCUACUGGACGAUGACGCCGACUGUUAUGAAUCCAUAACAGUAAAACGGGAUUCAUGGAUUGAAGAUUUCGGUUUGAUCCCCAGCUGUCAGAACAGCAUCUACCUGCCAAACACAGGUCAUGUUAAUGCCCCAACCCCUCGUGAAGACUCCGCCUCCACUCUCACCCCCAUCAUUAAAAUGGGCUGGCUUUACAAGAAUCCUCCACAGGGGUCUCUGAUCUAUCAGCGCCGUUGGGUUAAACUGGAUGCAGAGUACAUGAGAUACUUUGACAGUGAGAAGGACGUCUAUUCCAAGCGGAUCAUACCAACUGCGUCCAUCACGGGGGUCGUCAAUGUGGGUGAUCAGAAGUUUGAAGUGGUGACCCACAAUCGCACUUUCCUGUUCCGGGCGGAAAGUGACUCGGAGAGGAACGGGUGGGUUACUGUGUUGAAGGAUUGUGUCGGAGCGUCUCGGUCGCGGGCAAGUCUGGAUUUGACCUUUAACCCAUGCGUGACAACUGAGAUGAAGGGUUAUCUGGAGCUGCGCGGGCUGCGCUCGAAACUCUACACGGUCGUGUGCACGGAUAAAGUCUUUCUCUACAAAAACACUGAGGAUUAUCGUUUGGGAAUAGGAAUCACCUCUAUUGAUAUGAACGUUGGGAAUGUGAAAGAGAUGGACCGAAGAGCUUUUGAUCUGACCACACCAUACCGCAUAUUCAGUUUCAUAGCAGAUUCAGACCAGUUGAAGGAUCAGUGGGUGGAGGCAAUGCGUGAUUCUAUUGCAGAGGCAUUGUCCAACUAUGAAGUAGCUGAGCGGAUCUGGGCAGAGCCGUCCAAUCAGAUGUGUGCAGACUGCAGUGCUGCUAAACCUGAGUGGGUGUCGAUCAACCUGGCUGUGGUAUUCUGCAAGCGAUGUGCAGGAGAACAUCGUGGUCUGGGCCCAAGCAUUUCAAAAGUAAGGAGUCUCAAAAUGGACAAGAAGGUUUGGACGGAAGAGCUCAUCCAGUUGUUCCUAACUCUUGGAAAUGAGCGAGCCAAUCAGUUUUGGGCGGCGAAUGUACCGCCGAGUGAGGCGUUAAUGGUGAUCAGCAGCAGCGAGGAGCGACGGCGUUUCAUCACAGCGAAAUACUGCGAAGGGAAAUACCGCCGAUAUCACCCACUGUUCGGCAACCAGAAAGAACUCAACAACGCGUUGUGUAUUAACGUUCAGUCCAGCGACGUGUGUGAGACGUUGGCUUUGGUUUUCUGUGGCGCUGAUGUGAACUGUGACACAGGCGACCCGGAUUUGCCCACGCCGAUCGCCCUGGCGCAACAUCACGGCCAGAGCCUGCAGGUGGAGUUUCUCACACAGAACCGCAACACAGAGCUCCCAAGGUCAGAGGUGAAGGUUGCCAUAGAUACGGUGCACUACAUGGCCCCGCCCUCCGUCACGCAUAACGGCUUCCUUUUUAAGACCGCCUCCAUGGUUCGACCAAUCACAGAGAAGAAGAGCAAAGAAGAGUUCAGUCGGCGCUGGUGUGUUCUGAAUGACGGUAAUUUUAGCUACUAUGAAAGUGAUAAAAACGCGACACCAAAUGGCGGACUGAAGAUGAGAGAGAUCGUUUGUCUCGCCGUCAACCCCGCAGAGACUCAUGGGUAUGAUUACACAUUUGAGUUGUACUCUGAUACGGAGCGUUUGUAUCUGUUUGGCAUUGAUAAUCCAGAAACCAUGCGUGAGUGGGUCAAAUCCAUCGCUAAGUCAUUUAUUCCAGUCGGAGCAGAGGAUCUGUUACUAAAAGACUUUGAGCGCAUCGGCCGACUGCGUUAUAAAGACGGUCUGAAUCUAGAAAGCUCCAGACUGGCCUGGUUCUCUCUGGUGGGGUCGAAUCUGCACAUCCGUGUGGACGAACAUCUCAGAGACGAAACCAUCGACCUGCAGAAACUCCUGGAGCUCUCGAUCCAGCCUGAAAAUGAAGUUCUAGUUCUAGUGGAGAGAGGCAGGACGCUGUACAUCGAGGGCGAGAGGAAGUUGGAUUUUCAGGGAUGGGCGACAGCGAUCCAGAGAGCAGCAGGGAGUUCAGGAGACACACUGAGUCAACAGCAGCUGACAGAGGCGAAUAUUCCUGUUAUAGUGGAGCGCUGCAUUCACUUCACCACACAAUACGGUCUGACCUCAGAGGGCAUCUAUCGUAAGAGUGGGGUGAACAGUAAGAUCGCCGCCCUGCUGGAGGAGUUCCGGCGUGAUGCGAGGUGUGUGUGGCUGAAGGAGGGAGAACAUCAGGUAGACGACGUGUCCAAUGUUCUCAAGAGGUUCUUCAGAGACAUCCAGGAGGGAUUGUUUGCACAGCAGGUGCACAACUGGCUUAGCACUACAGAUGUUUCAGAUGAAAGCAGCCGAGUCUGUCAGUAUCGUCUACUGUUCAGUAACCUGCCGCGAGUCAACCAGGCGACACUACGAGCACUAGUCAAUCAUUUAUACUGUGUCCAGCGGUUUGCCGAUCUCAAUCAAAUGAAUCUUCAUAAUCUCGCUAUUGUGUUCGGGCCAACUCUCUUCCAGACAGACGGGAAGGAUUACAACGCCGGCCGAGUCAUCGAAGAUCUCAUCCAACACUAUGUCACCAUAUUCGAUGUGAACGAGCAGCAGUUAAAGAGACAGUUAGAUGAGAUCACGUACAUCAUAAAACUGAGAGAAAACCUCAAUCCUAAAGCUGGUCCGGCCAGUGGUGAUUUCAUUUGUACAGUUUACCUGGAGGAGAAAAAGGAAACGGCCGAACAGCAUGUAAAGAUUCCCGCCGCAAUGACUGCAGCAGAAUUGACGUUUGAGAUUCUGGACCGACGGAAAAUCAGUGUGAGAGAGAAAGACUACUGGUGCUGUUUCGAAGUCAACGAGAAAGAGGAGACGGAGCGUCCGUUGCACUAUGAGGAGAGAGUUCUGCCCAUCAUACAUUCACUCGGCACAGACAGUUACCUGCUCGUCAAAAAACACUUCUCCAUGGAGGCCAUGCUCAUCUACCUGGCCAGUAAAGUGGAAGUGUCUAAACACGGUAUGAUGAAGUUUCGAGAAGAGAGAAGUUUACUGGGUUUGGGUCUGAGCUCUGGAAGCUUCAAUGAUCGAUACUUCAUACUGACCAACACCUCGCUUAGACUCUAUAAAGAAGUCCGGAAUCUACAAAAGCUACAAAACCCAGAGAUGCAGUGUAGUAAUCGUCCAGAGAAGGAGUGGCCAGUCAAGUGUCUGAAGGUUUAUCACGGCAUUAAAAAGAAGCUCCGCCCACCUACUUGUUGGGGUCUAACAGUCAUCUAUGAGAGUGAGAAACAGGACAAGCAGGAGAAACAGCAAUGGUAUCUCUGCUGCGAUACACAGAAUGAAAUGAGAGAAUGGUUCGCUACAUUUCUGAGCAUACAGAACGGAGGUCGCGUCUGGCCAGCAGAGUGGUUGAAGUCCCGCGAUGCGUGUCGCUCGGUGCCUCUGGAUGCUCGUUUUGGUAACGUGUCAUUGAUUCCACUGCGUGGCAGUGAGAACGAGAUGAGGAACAGUGUCGCCGCUUUCACAGCUGAUCCUCUCGCUCUCUUUAGAAAUGUUUGACGAUGAAGUAAACAGUGUUCAGACCAGGGACCUGAUGCAUAAACAUUGUGUAGCACAAAAUGGGCAUUGAAAUGAACUGAUGGUUUGAGAGGGUUAAAGUCACGUUGGCAUCGUUUGAUCGGUCAGAGGAUGUUCUGGAACUUCAGUCAGAAUUCCGAAGUUCUCUAGAACUUUGGAUCUACAUUCGUUGAGCAUUUGGAUGUUCAUGUAGUUUUACACACACUUUGACCUUCCACAGAGUUGACGGCACCUUAUAUUUCACUGAUUUAAUCGCUCACUCUUUCCCGAGAUAUAAUACUCUGCUGUGGUGCAUUCUGGGAUAUCAGACUGUACCUGGACUUGUUUUCACAUGGGUCACACGGUGUUGAAGGAUGGAAUGGAUUUAUGCUACGUGUUUUGGAGUUUUGUGAAUAUGUGUUCAUAAACUGAUCGUGUGCGAGACGACUGACCAAUCAGAGCACUUGUCUCGUUCUCUCUCCAUGUGUUCACUGGACGGCAGCGUCGCAUGUGGAAUAUUUAAUGUCCAUUUAACCGAAUGAAACACUUGAGUUUGGAGGGGUGUAUCCUGAGAGCAACGGACCUGUUUUACAGACUUCUUAAAAUGAUUGCACAGGGUUUGUUUUUGAUAGUUGUGUUUGGUGUCACUCUCACAAACGUCGCUCAAAUGAAGAAUCACGUCAUGUUUGAAAUGUAACAGGUCACAGAAAUUGUUCAUGUUGGGUUGUGCGAGUGGAUAUAAUGCUGCAUUCACGCGGUGUCAGAAUUAGCAUAAUGACGAGUUGUAACCAUUCACGCUUUCGUUGAACUAAAAUUUAGUUGAAUUUCGUUGAUUGCAAGAUGGAAAAUUUUUUACAAAAGCUCCUUUAGUUUUUUGAAAGAUGAUGUCAAACAUAAACAACAAAAAUGGCGAUGGCUUCAGCAGUUAACAGUGGUUAUUUUAGUUACUGCUACAUAUUUCUGUUUGAAAAGUAAUUUUAUUAUAGUCAGUGUUACCUUGUACAAUUCCUUUGUUAUUCAGUAUUUUGGCGUUAAUGGAAUAUUCCGGUUUCACUACAAGUUGAGCUCAAUCGACAGCAUUUGUGUCAUAAUGUUGAUUACACACAAAAAUUAAUCUCGACUCGUUCCUCCUUUUUUGAAUGUGUGUUCCAGUGAGACACUUACAAUGGAAGUCAAUGGGGUCAAUAAUCUGUAAACAUUAAAAUACUCACUGUUUCAAAAGUAUAGACACAAGACAUAAACAAUAUGUGUGUUAACAUGAUUUUACUGUCAUAAAAUCACUUACUAACCACAUCUGUGGAAAGAUAUAGAAAAUUUUACAACUUCGUUGCCAUGGCAACACAAUGCCUAAAACUCUUAAACCAAAAAACAACCAUAAAAACAAUGAUUUAUACAACUUUACAGCUGAAAUAAUACAGAAGAAUUAAUGUAAGUGCUUUUAUAAAAUUAUAAUCUUCACAUUUCUGACUUUAAACCCUCCAAAAAUUGACAAGGAAAAGGAGGAACGAGUCGAAAUUAAUUUUGUGGUAAUUAACAUUAUGACACAAAUGCUGUUGAUUGAGCUCAACUUGUAUUGAACCCGGAAUAUUCCUUUAAUGUUUUGAUGAAAUAUCAGCAUCAAAGUUGCAGAUGGACACAUUGUUGCCGUUGUAACAUUUGCUGUUGAAGCAAAUCAUUUCUAAAUCAGACGAUGUGAACAUUGAAGUUGUUUUCAGUAAUUCCAGUGAGACAUGAACGCAGUGUGAGUCUGUGUGUGUGUGUGUGUGUGUGUGUGUGUUUAUUUGUGUUAUGUUUGUAUCAGAAAUUGUGUAUGUUUGUUCGUGUCUUACGUCAGAUGUUCCACAACUUGUUCACUGCAUUCAGUCAUGUAGAUAAAGGUCCAAUUGUUUUAAUGAUAGUGAUUUUCAGAAAUGUAUUCACAUAAUUAGUUCUAAUAAUUUAAUGUAAAUUUUCUACACUGUUGCAUUCCAGAUAAGACUGUGAUGUUUUUAUUUAGGAGACACAUCAGUGUAAAAAUGAAUUUCUUUAGUUUACACAAACUGAGCAUCAUUCAUGAAACACAAGCAGAACAUAUUCAUGUCAACUCGUUAAUGUAAAACCAUUAUUACAUAAAAUGACACGUGAAUAUUUACUCAAGAAUGGUUUCACAAGUAAAUGCAACAAUUUGCAUAACUAUAAGUGUGGUUUUUACAAACUAAUAAUUUGACAGUUUGUGUGAGAAUAGUUUUACAAACAAAUGUGACAAUUCAUUUUAGAAAUGUUUCAUAUGAAGCAAAGCAGCAGUGUACAUAAAAUUAUAUUACAAGCAAUUGUGACAAUUUACAUAAGAAGGGUUUUAUGAAAUGUGACUAUGAAAAUGUUUUAUGAUCAAAUGUAACAAUAUGUAACAAAGGUUUCAUGAAAUAAUGUGGUCAUUUACAUAAAAAUGCAUUUAUGAAAGAAAGUGACAAACAAAUGCUACAAUUCACGUAAGAAGGGUUUAACAAAAGAAAGCAACAAUUUACACUGGUGUCCAAAAGUUUGGACUAAUGUACAGAUUUUGCUCUUAUGGAAAGAAAUUGGUACUUUUAUUCACUAAAGUGGCAUUCAACUGAUCACAAUGUAUAGUCAGGACUUUAAUAACAUGAAAAAUUACUAUUAAAAUGUUCAGAACUUCUUAAACUACUUCAAAGAGUUCUCAUCUAAAAAUCCUCCAUGUGCAGCAAUGACAGCUUUGCAGAUCCUUGUUAUUCUAGCUGUCAGUUUGUCCAGAUACUCAGGUGACAUUUCACCCCACACUUCCUGUAGCACUUGCCAUAGAUGUGACUGUCUUGUCGGGCACUUCUCACACACCUUACAGUCUAGCUGAUCCCACAAAAGCUCAAUGGGGUUAAGAUCCAGAACACUCUUUUCCAAUGAUCUGUUGUCCAAUGUCUGUGUGUCUUUGCCCACUCGAACCUUUUCUUUUUCCCAUAAGGCCUGCACCCCUGAGUCUUCUCUUUACUGUUGUACAUGAAACUGGUGUUGAGCGGGUAGAAUUCAAUGAAGCUGUCAGCUGAGGACAUGUGAGGCGUCUAUUUCUCAAACUAGAGACUCUGAUGUACUUAUCCUCUUGUUUAGUUGUACAUCUGGUCUUCCACAUCUCUUUCUGUCCUUGUUAGAGCCAGUUGUCCUUUGUCUUUGAAGACUGUAGUGUACACCUUUGUAUGAAAUCUUUCAAAGCAUUGUAUAGCCUUCAUUCCUCAAAACAAUGACUGACUGACGAGUUUCUAGAGAAAGCUGUUUCUUUUUUUGGCCAUUUUUGACCUAAUAUUGACCUUAAGACAUGCCAGUCUAUUGCAUACUGUGGCAACUCAAAAACAGACACAAAGACAACGUUAAGCUUCAUUUAAUGAACCAAAUAGCUUUCAGCUGUGUUUGAUAUAAUGGCAAGUGAUUUUCUAGCACCAAAUGAUCAAUUUAGCAUGAUUACUCAAGGAUAAGGUGUUGGAGUGAUGGCUACUGUCUAGAUUUGAUCAAAAAUGACUUUUUUCAAAUAGUGAUGGUGCUGUUUUUGACAUCAGUAAUGUCCUGACUAUACUUUGUGAUCAGCUGAAUGCCACUUUGGUGAAUAAAAGUACCAAUUUCUGUCUGAAACAGCAAAAUCUGUACAUUAUUCCAAACUUUUGGCCGUCAGUGUAAAUAUAAUUGUUUAAGAACUAAUGCAACAAUUUACGUUGAAGGGUCUUUCAAAAUAAUGCGACAGUUGGCAUUAAAAUGGUUUUACGAACAAAUGCAACAAAGCUUGUUCAGUUUGUAUUUCAUGAAUGAAGAAAAAUGUCUUUUUUUUCAUCUGAUGGGGUUUGAUUAAAUAAGUGUGUCAUUUUCAGUGUUUUGUGCUCAGAGUAGACGUGAAAUUAAAUUAGGUGACGUAAAUGAGUUUGCAGAAUUACUUCCCAUCAGUUCUCUUAAUUAACGAACAGAUUUUACUCUGGUGAAGUCAGAGAUGAAUUUAUGAAGGGUCACUGUGUGUAUUUGUGUGUGUUAUGAAAUCUGCUGUACAGACACACACAGAGAUCUCGAUUCAGAUGGUAAUUAGGGUCAUAUACGGUCCAAAUGAAGAUGUAUAUUACAUUUGAAUAGAGAAUAAAGAAUAACCUGUUUGAGUUUGUCAGGUUAAUUCAUGAUGAGGACAAUGUGAGAUUCUAACUUGAUUUGAAAGUCUUUGUACAUGUUGUAUUUUGCCUUUGAUUGCUCGUUAAAGUUGAUAGUAAAUUUGGUCAUUCUAUAACA